rnacentral:rRNA from 1 species
UACUGAAGGUGCGAGCGUUAAUCGGAAUUACUGGGCGUAAAGCGCGCGUAGGCGGUUUGGUAAGUCGGAUGUGAAAUCCCCGGGCUCAACCCGGGAACUGCAUUCGAUACUGUCAGGCUAGAGUGUAAGAGAGGGUAGUGGAAUUCCGGGUGUAGCGGUGAAAUGCGUAGAUAUCCGGAGGAACAUCAGUGGCGAAGGCGACUGCCUGGCUUAACACUGACGCUGAGGUGCGAAAGCGUGGGGAGCAAACAGG